rnacentral:lncRNA from 1 species
UUGCUAGUGGCUACAAUCUAGCAAGGCUUAGAGGCGGCACAGCCUUCUUAAUCAGGUCCUGCUACGUAUGACAAUGACUAAGCUCCAAGUACAACACACAAAACUGGUUUGAGAAUUUUGAAACACUCACAAUACAGCUUCGGUAGCAUCAGUGGAGGAAAGGCUGGACCCUGUAUUUGUGUUGUGUACCCUCACUCUAGGAGGUGUCUUCACACUAAGAGAUGGCCACUCAGCUUCUGGCAUUAUCACUCUGCAUCUACUUUGCCAAGCUUCUUCUUUUGAAACGUCUUGUGUAGGCAGUAGUUAUGAAUAUGCCACCCAGAAGAAUACC